UGUUUUGCAUAAUUAUAUUAUAAAUAGUAAUAUUUAAAAAAAUUUUCACAUCUUACAAAUAAUAUUAUUAUUUAAAUUCAAAAAUCGAUUUCUAACAAGGUAAUUUAAAGAUAAAUAGUCGCAUCGCAUAUUCGAGAAAAAAAGAAAGAUCAAUUAUAAAUUUCAAACGCAAGUUUACAUUUUCUCUUCACCCAAUAUAUGAGCCAUUACCUUACAAGCCGAGAAUAUGACAUCAAAAGAAAAAUCUUUAAAAAAUAUCCCAAGCAUGCCAGAAAAAAGUGAAGAUUUAGGAAUGAGCCAAGACAUCAGCGAAAAGAACUAUCGAGGCCAAUGGGGCAACCAUGCAGAAUUUAUUUUAUCUAUCAUAGGUUAUUCUAUCGGUUUCGGAAAUGUCUGGAGAUUCCCCUACGUGUGUUAUGAUAAUGGUGGAGGAGCUUUUCUCAUUCCAUACAUCAUAAUGCUCUUCUUGAUAGGGAAGCCUUUGUACUUCCUGGAAUUAGCUCUAGGUCAAUUUACUAGGCAAGGACCUCCAGGUGCUUUUAAAUUAGCUCCAAUAACUAUGGGAAUCGGCUAUGCUAUGUUAUUAACUUGUUUAAUUAUUUGUGUGUACUACAAUGUUCUGAUGGUCUACACGCUCUAUUAUACUUUUGCCUCUUUUCAAAGGCAUCUUCCCUGGACACAUUGCAACAACUCUUUCAAUACGAAAAGUUGUUACGACGUCAGAACAUAUCGAAAUCAUACCAAUCAAACGCCCUUAACGGCUUCUAACUUAACUCGCAUUUCUAAUAGUUGGACGAACAAUAACGUUACCAAUUUAACUGGUUUUACUAAGCCCUCUGAUUUAACUGGCCUUUCCAAUUUUACCCAUUUAAUCGAGGGAAAUUCCACAUCUAUGAUUAAUCUGUCUGCAGCCAUAUCUAGAGCGUCGUCUAUGGAAGAAUUCUGGAAAAUAAAAGUAUUAGGGAUAGACAGAUCUACUGGUAUUGAUGAUCCAGGUUCCAUAAAAUGGGAUUUAGCUUUGACACUUUUUCUAUCUUGGGCCAUCGUAUUUGGUAUGCUUUUCAAAGGAAUUCAGACAUCCGGAAAAGUUAUAUACGUUACCGCGACCCUCCCUUAUUUGCUCCUAACUAUCUUACUUAUUAAGGGAAGCACUCUUAAUGGAGCACGGGAUGGAAUAUUAUACCUAUUUAAUCCACAAUGGCGCAAGCUAUUAAAUAUUAAAGUCUGGAGGGCCGCCUGUGCCCAGAUAUUUUAUUCUCUGAGUUUAGCUAUGGGGGGUAUAACCACGUUUUCCAGUUUCAACCCCUUCCAUAACAACUGUUACAAGGAUGCUAUGAUAGUGAGCAUAAUGGAUACAGUUACAAGUAUGAUGGCGGGAAUCGUCAUCUUUUCUUACUUAGGAAAUAUGGUUCAGGAGUUGAAUAUUACAUUAGAAGAAGGCGUUAAAACUAUAUCAGGUCCCGGUUUAGUCUUUAUAGUGUAUCCACGGGCCGUUUCCGGUCUUCCAAUACCUCAGUUAUGGUCCGUCCUUUUUUUCGUCAUGCUUUACAGCCUGGGUUUGGAUAGUUCGGUUGCUUUAAUUUCCACCUUAACCAGCGCGAUUCACGAUCAACUCCCCAAAUUUUUUCCUUGGAAACACAAGACUUACCUAUGUUUGGCUUUAUGUUUUAUUUGCUUCUUACUUGGAUUGCCAUUUAUAACUUACGGAGGUUUCUACGUAUUCGAUUUAGUAAACUUUUACGUUGGAGAUUUUUGCCUAAUUAUGAUAGCGGCCACGGAACUCAUCGCUAUCAUGUGGAUAUAUGGUAUCAAAAAAUUUAUCAAGGACAUCGAAGUCAUGUUAGGUCGUAAAUUACCCCAAAAAUGGUAUUGGUAUACCACCUGGUCUAUCAUGGGUCCCAUUAUUUUAUUGGCCAUAGCUAUCGCUUCAUUAUACGAUCUAAUUACGCAAGGAGAACACAAAUUAGAUAAUUAUGGUUAUCCAGGAUGGGCACAUAAUUUUGGUUGGACAAUUAUGACCCUCAUUUUAGCCCAAAUUGUUAUAGUCGGGAGUAUAUACUUUUACCAUCAACCUGGCGACCUUAAGGAGAAAAUUCUAAAAUUAAUAUCGGCGCUUGGAAUCGGAAUCUUUCUCGCAUCCUUACAUUUAUAGGGUAGACAUAAAUAAAGCCAAGAAAAUUAUAAAUACAGUACCUCAAGGCAAAGUCACGACAUUAGUGCCUCCUUUGAUAAAUCCUCGACAAGAAGUUGGAGACAGUGAUGUGGGGAAUUCUGGGAACUUGUUGGAGGAAAGUCAAAUGUUCAAUCCUCCACAAGAUGUUGGAGACAGUGAUGUGGGGAUUUCUGGGAACUUGUUGGAAGAAAGUCAAAUGUUCAAUCCUCCACAAGAAGCUGGAGACAGUGAUCUGGGGAUAAUUUGUACUUUAAGUUUGUUCAUAAUUGCAUAAUGCUCUUCUUUAGAUUUAUCAGGAUGGUGGUGAAUAUGUUUUAAUGUAAAUUUCUUUUUAUUACAAAUUCAAUUAUUUUUUAGAUAUUUUUAUUAU